AUGCGGCCAUAUCUCCCACGUGUCGAGGCACGACUUAGAGGCAUAACCGCAUUGUGGUUUUGUCGCAAGAAGGGUCAUCUUCACACAAUCCCAUGUAAUGAACAAGAAUGGGAUAAAGAGUUGGCUUACAAUCGCCACUUCACACAAUACAUAAAUAAAUCAUACAUCAUUCAGAGUACACACACAGGUCCGACUACGGAACCAAAAGAAAAGAAGACAACCCAACUGCUAGAUCCCCGAUCGUCCCAACUGGGCACCACUACUGAUCAAUAUGAAAAGAAACAACACAACGAACAAGAUCUUCAUCGAGCUCCCACUUGA
rnacentral:rRNA from 1 species